CCUACGGGCGGCAGCAGUGGGGAAUAUUGCACAAUGGGCGCAAGCCUGAUGCAGCCAUGCCGCGUGUGUGAAGAAGGCCUUCGGGUUGUAAAGCACUUUCAGCGGGGAGGAAGGCGGUGAGGUUAAUAACCUCAUCGAUUGACGUUACCCGCAGAAGAAGCACCGGCUAACUCCGUGCCAGCAGCCGCGGUAAUACGGAGGGUGCAAGCGUUAAUCGGAAUUACUGGGCGUAAAGCGCACGCAGGCGGUCUGUCAAGUCGGAUGUGAAAUCCCCGGGCUCAACCUGGGAACUGCAUUCGAAACUGGCCGGCUAGAGUCUUGUAGAGGGGAGUAGAAUUCCAGGUGUAGCGGUGAAAUGCGUAGAGAUCUGGAGGAAUACCGGUGGCGAAGGCGGCCCCCUGGACAAAGACUGACGCUCAGGUGCGAAAGCGUGGGGAGCAAACAGGAUUAGAUACCCUUGUAGUC
rnacentral:rRNA from 1 species